rnacentral:rRNA from 1 species
GUACACAAAAAUGCACAUAUUGUGAGCUCGAUGAGUAGGGCGGGACACGUGGUAUCCUGUCUGAAUAUGGGGGGACCAUCCUCCAAGGCUAAAUACUCCUGACUGACCGAUAGUGAACCAGUACCGUGAGGGAAAGGCGAAAAGAACCCCGGCGAGGGGAGUGAAAAAGAACCUGAAACCGUGUACGUACAAGCAGUGGGAGCCUCUUUAUGGGGUGACUGCGUACCUUUUGUAUAAUGGGUCAGCGACUUAUAUUCUGUAGCAAGGUUAACCGAAUAGGGGAGCCGAAGGGAAACCGAGUCUUAACUGGGCGUUAAGUUGCAGGGUAUAGACCCGAAACCCGGUGAUCUAGCCAUGGGCAGGUUGAAGGUUGGGUAACACUAACUGGAGGACCGAACCGACUAAUGUUGAAAAAUUAGCGGAUGACUUGUGGCUGGGGGUGAAAGGCCAAUCAAACCGGGAGAUAGCUGGUUCUCCCCGAAAGCUAUUUAGGUAGCGCCUCGUGAAUUCAUCUCCGGGGGUAGAGCACUGUUUCGGCAAGGGGGUCAUCCCGACUUACCAACCCGAUGCAAACUGCGAAUACCGGAGAAUGUUAUCACGGGAGACACACGGCGGGUGCUAACGUCCGUCGUGAAGAGGGAAACAACCCAGACCGCCAGCUAAGGUCCCAAAGUCAUGGUUAAGUGGGAAACGAUGUGGGAAGGCCCAGACAGCCAGGAUGUUGGCUUAGAAGCAGCCAUCAUUUAAAGAAAGCGUAAUAGCUCACUGGUCGAGUCGGCCUGCGCGGAAGAUGUAACGGGGCUAAACCAUGCACCGAAGCUGCGGCAGCGACACUAUGUGUUGUUGGGUAGGGGAGCGUUCUGUAAGCCUGUGAAGGUGGCCUGUGAGGGUUGCUGGAGGUAUCAGAAGUGCGAAUGCUGACAUAAGUAACGAUAAAGCGGGUGAAAAGCCCGCUCGCCGGAAGACCAAGGGUUCCUGUCCAACGUUAAUCGGGGCAGGGUGAGUCGACCCCUAAGGCGAGGCCGAAAGGCGUAGUCGAUGGGAAACAGGUUAAUAUUCCUGUACUUGGUGUUACUGCGAAGGGGGGACGGAGAAGGCUAUGUUGGCCGGGCGACGGUUGUCCCGGUUUAAGCGUGUAGGCUGGUUUUCCAGGCAAAUCCGGAAAACCAAGGCUGAGGCGUGAUGACGAGGCACUACGGUGCUGAAGCGACAAAUGCCCUGCUUCCAGGAAAAGCCUCUAAGCAUCAGGUAACAUCAAAUCGUACCCCAAACCGACACAGGUGGUCAGGUAGAGAAUACCAAGGCGCUUGAGAGAACUCGGGUGAAGGAACUAGGCAAAAUGGUGCCGUAACUUCGGGAGAAGGCACGCUGAUAUGUAGGUGAAGCGACUUGCUCGUGGAGCUGAAAUCAGUCGAAGAUACCAGCUGGCUGCAACUGUUUAUUAAAAACACAGCACUGUGCAAACACGAAAGUGGACGUAUACGGUGUGACGCCUGCCCGGUGCCGGAAGGUUAAUUGAUGGGGUUAGCGGUAACGCGAAGCUCUUGAUCGAAGCCCCGGUAAACGGCGGCCGUAACUAUAACGGUCCUAAGGUAGCGAAAUUCCUUGUCGGGUAAGUUCCGACCUGCACGAAUGGCGUAAUGAUGGCCAGGCUGUCUCCACCCGAGACUCAGUGAAAUUGAACUCGCUGUGAAGAUGCAGUGUACCCGCGGCAAGACGGAAAGACCCCGUGAACCUUUACUAUAGCUUGACACUGAACAUUGAGCCUUGAUGUGUAGGAUAGGUGGGAGGCUUUGAAGUGUGGACGCCAGUCUGCAUGGAGCCGACCUUGAAAUACCACCCUUUAAUGUUUGAUGUUCUAACGUUGGCCCGUAAUCCGGGUUGCGGACAGUGUCUGGUGGGUAGUUUGACUGGGGCGGUCUCCUCCUAAAGAGUAACGGAGGAGCACGAAGGUUGGCUAAUCCUGGUCGGACAUCAGGAGGUUAGUGCAAUGGCAUAAGCCAGCUUGACUGCGAGCGUGACGGCGCGAGCAGGUGCGAAAGCAGGUCAUAGUGAUCCGGUGGUUCUGAAUGGAAGGGCCAUCGCUCAACGGAUAAAAGGUACUCCGGGGAUAACAGGCUGAUACCGCCCAAGAGUUCAUAUCGACGGCGGUGUUUGGCACCUCGAUGUCGGCUCAUCACAUCCUGGGGCUGAAGUAGGUCCCAAGGGUAUGGCUGUUCGCCAUUUAAAGUGGUACGCGAGCUGGGUUUAGAACGUCGUGAGACAGUUCGGUCCCUAUCUGCCGUGGGCGCUGGAGAACUGAGGGGGGCUGCUCCUAGUACGAGAGGACCGGAGUGGACGCAUCACUGGUGUUCGGGUUGUCAUGCCAAUGGCACUGCCCGGUAGCUAAAUGCGGAAGAGAUAAGUGCUGAAAGCAUCUAAGCACGAAACUUGCCCCGAGAU